GACGAACGCUGGCGGCGUGCCUAACACAUGCAAGUCGAACGGGACCGCAAGGUUCAGUGGCGGACGGGUGCGUAACACGUGAGGAACAUAGCCAACGGCGGGGGAUAGCCGGCCCAACGGCCGGGUAAUACCGCGUACGACCUUUGGGGGGCAUCCCCUGGGGGUGAAAGCAGCAAUGCGCCGAUGGGGUGCCUCGCGGCCUAUCAGCUAGUUGGUGAGGUAACGGCUCACCAAGGCUACGACGGGAGCUGGUCCGAGAGGAUGACCAGCCACAUUGGGACUGAGACACGGCCCAGACUCCUACGGGAGGCAGCAGUGGGGAAUAUUGCGCAAUGGGCGAAAGCCUGACGCAGCGACGCCGCGUGUGGGAUGAAGGUCUUCGGAUUGUAAACCACUGUCGGGAGGGGACGAAGCUCUGACGGUACCUCCAAAGGAAGCACCGGCUAACUCUGUGCCAGCAGCUGCCGUAAG
rnacentral:rRNA from 1 species